rnacentral:tRNA from 1 species
GUGGCUGUGGCUCAGUUGGUUAGAGCACUGGAUUGUGGUUCCAGACGUCGGGGGUUCAAGUCCCCUCAGCCACCCCA